UACGAAGGGGGCUAGCGUUGCUCGGAAUCACUGGGCGUAAAGCGCACGUAGGCGGAUUGCUAAGGUCAAGGGUGAAAUCCUGGAGCUCAACUCCAGAACUGCCUUUGAUACUGGCAACCUUGAGUCCGGGAGAGGUGAGUGGAACUGCGAGUGUAGAGGUGAAAUUCGUAGAUAUUCGCAAGAACACCAGUGGCGAAGGCGGCUCACUGGCCCGGUACUGACGCUGAGGUGCGAAAGCGUGGGGAGCAAACAGG
rnacentral:rRNA from 1 species